rnacentral:rRNA from 1 species
AUUGAACGCUGGCGGCAGGCUUAACACAUGCAAGUCGAGCGGGGGAAGGUAGCUUGCUACCGGACCUAGCGGCGGACGGGUGAGUAAUGCUUAGGAAUCUGCCUAUUGGUGGGGGACAACAUCUCGAAAGGGAUGCUAAUACCGCAUACGUCCUACGGGAGAAAGCAGGGGAUCUUCGGACCUUGCGCUAAUAGAUGAGCCUAAGUCGGAUUAGCUAGUUGGUGGGGUAAAGGCCUACCAAGGCGACGAUCUGUAGCGGGUCUGAGAGGAUGGUCCGCCACACUGGGACUGAGACACGGCCCAGACUCCUACGGGAGGCAGCAGUGGGGAGUAUUGGACAAUGGGGGGAACUCUGAUCCAGCCAUGCCGCGUGUGUGAAGAAGGCCUUAUGGUUGUAAAGCACUUUAAGCGAGGAGGAGGCUACUUUAGUUAAUACCUAGAGAUAGUGGACGUUACUCGCAGAAUAAGCACCGGCUAACUCUGUGCCAGCCGCCGCCGUAAAAC